rnacentral:rRNA from 1 species
UGGGGAAUAUUGCACAAUGGGGGAAACCCUGAUGCAGCAACGCCGCGUGGAGGAUGACGCAUUUCGGUGUGUAAACUCCUUUUUUGUGGGAAGAUAAUGACGGUACCAUAAGAAUAAGCAUCGGCUAACUCCGUGCCAGCAGCCGCGGUAAUA